rnacentral:lncRNA from 1 species
CGUAGAACUGCGGUAUUACGCAGAAUCCAACACUCAGUAGGAGCCACAUUAAGCUGCCUCUGUCAACAGCCAAGAUGACUGACAAGACCCUCCUCCAAAACCUUCCUGGAUAAAAGUACUUCUCUCUUCUGCCUGUGGAGUCAAACCCUUGGGCUGCAAAUGCCUUGAGCAACUGAUCAGAACCAAAAGUGCUACCUAAGUAAGAGAAGUCUGGGUGUGCUUGUCGGGAAUCCCGACUGGUCCGUGAACAGGAGGGAUCCUCUGUCUUGGCAAGAUUACAAAUCCAAACCCCGGUCGGAUGAAAACAUCAUUGCUGCUGCUUUCUUGCCCCUGGAAAGAACGCCUGCCUUUCUGUCCUCACUACAGAGCCCCGGUUCUUAGCUGACAGGCUACUGUUCUGAUCAAAAGCCCACCUGAGAGGUGAGAAUCCCAGGCACAGGGAUCUCCGGCAGAAAUUCGUCUCUGCCAAAGCAGCCCCCAGGGAGGAGGUUUCUAAUUUGGUUGAUCACCAGAAGCUUCUGGCAGCAGUUUCAAAGUGUGGAUUCUCCAAACCCACCCCAGGCCUCCUGAAUGGAAUCUCCAACAGUCUCUUCAGGCCAAUGAUGGGGCUCCCAUGCACCUGCCUCACUGGACGAAUGACAGAGGAUGAAGGCCCCAGAAGAACAACUCAUGUCGACAGAGUGGAGGAACGAAGGCCUUGUUCUGUGGCUCCAGAAAUUCAGUUGUUCCCUUUCAACCCAAUUAUCUGCCAAAGAGACCCAGCUGUGGUAUAGUAAAAACAAGGUGUGAACCUACAGUCAAAGAACUGGGCUUCAAAUUCCAACUCUGCAUGGCUUUCCCUAAGUCACUGCCUCUGUAGGUCUUGUUUCCUCAAUAAUAAAAUGGGGGUAACAACCUUGAUCUUGCCUGUCUCUUGGGGUUAUCGUGACAGUUCUUGUGACAUUCGUAAAAAUGUUUUAUAGGAUGCAAAUUAGUUAACAACUAAGGGAAAUAUGUCAGAAAUGCUAAAUAAAAUAUACUCAGAUGCGAUAACUAACUCUUCGUCAAAAGGGGCUUUCUUGUUCCUAGGAAAGGGUGGUAGGUUUUUAAAAAAACAUUGAGAGUAUUCUAAUGUUCUUUUCAAACAGAUGAAACCUUGCAAGAGAACAGUGGGUGAGCGCAGUGCAGUCCCCAGCUGGGAGGAUGGCCUUUGGGUGGCAGGGUCUUUUGGUUGACAUUGACUUUGCACUGAUCGGGUAAGGCUUGGAGCCUUGUAUUCAGUCCUUGACAGCCCACUGUAGGAGGGCAUCACCACCUAGAGUGUGUCCAAAGGAAACAGAUCAGAGUAACAAGGGACCUGAAAACCAUGGCCCAUUAAAAAUAGUUAAAGGAACUCAGCGCACAUAGACUGGAGCAGACUCAGGGGACAUGGCCCCGUCUUUAGAUGCACAUAGUGACAUAGGUUAGUCAUGUAAAAGAGGGAAUAGCUUCUUUCAGUGUGGAUUCCCCAGAGUGUUAAAGUUGCCGGAGACAAGACGUCGAUUAAGGGGAAGACAAAUUUCAGAAUGGA